rnacentral:tRNA from 1 species
AGGGAGUUAGUCCAAAACAAGACCUCUGAUUUCGGCUCAGAAAAUUAUGGUUAGAGUCCAUAGCCCCCUU